GAAAUGCGAUAAGUAAUGUGAAUUGCAGAAUUCAGUGAAUCAUCGAAUCUUUGAACGCACAUUGCGCCCCUCGGUAUUCCGGGGGGCAUGCCUGUUCGAGCGUCAUUACACCAAUCAAGCCUCGCUUGGUCUUGGGCGUUCGCGGUUCUGCCGCGCGCCCCAAAGUCUCCGGCUGAGCCGUCCGUCUCGAAGCGUUGUGAUCUAAUCGAAUCGCUUGCGGGAUCGGGUUGGCUUGUUCGCCGUCAAAACCCCCGUUCUUAACAGGUUGACCUCGGAUCAGGUAGGGAUACCCGCUGAACUUAA
rnacentral:misc_RNA from 1 species